UACGAAGGGGGCUAGCGUUGCUCGGAAUCACUGGGCGUAAAGCGCACGUAGGCGGCUUUUUAAGUCAGGGGUGAAAUCCUGGAGCUCAACUCCAGAACUGCCUUUGAUACUGAGAGGCUUGAGUCCGGAAGAGGUAAGUGGAACUGCGAGUGUAGAGGUGAAAUUCGUAGAUAUUCGCAAGAACACCAGUGGCGAAGGCGGCUUACUGGUCCGGUACUGACGCUGAGGUGCGAAAGCGUGGGGAGCGAACAGG
rnacentral:rRNA from 1 species